rnacentral:lncRNA from 1 species
UCCCUGGCUAGGGCUGAGAUUUCUAGGAGGAGAAAUACAGGUGGAAAUGAGCAGCUCUAUGUUAUGACAAAUCAGUCGACGAGUAUCUAUUCUCCACCUCCUUGGUGUCUGGCGCUGUGUGAGGCACAGGCAGCGUAAGGGUGAAUAAGGUACAAAGAACCCUGCUGUCACUGAGCUGUUAGCUGAGAAGGUAGAGAGGACAUGAAGCCAAUCAUUACAAGGCAUCCCAAAAGAUAAAUGAACAAGUGGCAUGGAGUUGUGGCCACGCUUGUGGAGUAUGAGCUCAGGCUAUUCCCCUUCAAAUACUGAUUCAAGACGACAGGAGAUGAUCUUGAGCAGGAUGCAGAAGUUUCUGAGCCUGAAUUUCCCUAAUUGUAAAAUGGGAGAAUUUCUAGUAGCUCCCUGAAAGCACUGAAUGAGAAGUAAAUGUAUUAAUACUUGUAAAUUGUGCCCACAGUAUGCCAGGCAGCUGAUAGAAUUCAUAUGCCUUAGUAAAGGUGAUUUUUACAAUAUUUGUUCCUGUUUUGUACGCUUUACAUUUAAGUCCCUGUUAUGAAUUGUACACUAUCCAAGCAAAAUGCAUUUUUAAAUUCUCACCAACAUGCAUACUUUCUCUGUCUAAUGAAGUAAUUUGUAAGAUAAUAGC